CCUACGGGUGGCAGCAGUGGGGAAUAUUGCACAAUGGGGGAAACCCUGAUGCAGCGACGCCGCGUGAGUGAAGAAGGAUCUCGGUACGUAAAGCUCUAUCAGCGGGGAAGAAAAUGACUGUACCUGACUAAGAAGCCCCGGCUAACUACGUGCCAGCAGCCGCGGUAAUACGUAGGGCGCAAGCGUUAUCCGGAUUUACUGGGUGUAAAGGGAGCGUAGACGGCAGCACAAGUCUGGAGUGAAAUCCCGGGGCCUAACCCCGGAACUGCGCUGGAAACUGUGCGGCUGGAGUGCAGGAGGGGUAAGCGGAAUUCCUAGUGUAGCGGUGAAAUGCGUAGAUAUUAGGAGGAACACCAGUGGCGAAGGCGGCUUACUGGACUGUAACUGACGUUGAGGCUCGAAAGCGUGGGGAGCAAACAGGAUUAGAUACCCUAGUAGUC
rnacentral:rRNA from 1 species